rnacentral:rRNA from 1 species
AUUGAACGCUGGCGGCAGGCUUAACACAUGCAAGUCGAGCUAGCGGCGGACGGGUGAGUAAUGUCUGGGAAACUGCCUGAUGGAGGGGGAUAACUACUGGAAACGGUAGCUAAUACCGCAUACCAUCAGAUGUGCCCAGAUGGGAUUAGCGAGUAGGUGGGGUAACGGCUCAACAAGGCGACGAUCCCUAGCUGGUCUGAGAGGAUGACCAGGCACACUGGAACGGAGGCAAGGUCCAGACGCCUACGUGAGGCAGCAGUGGGGAAGAGUGAACAAUGGGCGCAAGCCUGAUGCAGCCAUGCCGCGUGUGUGAAGAAGGCCUUCGGGUUGUAAAGCAAUUUCAGCGAGGAGGCGUUACUCGCAGAAGAAGCACCGGCUAACUCCGGGCCAGCAGCCGCGGUAAUAC